GACACGGGGCCGGGGGGUCUCGCUCCACUCUGGGCCUGGUGCCACCUGUGCAACGUCCCCAAACGGCCCAGGGCGAGGUGUGCAUUCAGGCCACCCCGUGUCAAAUGUCCACGAAACGGACCCAGCUCCCCCAAGAGUCUCAAAACACGGCGGCGUAGCACGCGAGCCCGGUCCAUCUUUGCCCUCCGAGGAGAGCAGGCCUGAAGAAAAAGUUAGCUAGUAGUCCUCAUUGCUACUGGCAUUCAUGCUGUGAACUUGAAGGGACCUGCCUAAGGAGGAGUAGAUACUGUGGACAGCAAAGAGGAGAGAUGGAAAGAAACUGGGUCAUUAUGACAUUGUUAAGCUGCUAGAUCCACCGUGGAGCCUGCACAACAGCUGGACUCUUCAUUAAUGUGAGCCACUCCUCCUCUUUAUUAUUUAAGCUAGUUCAAGAUGGUUUGCUUACAAGUUGUGUCUAAUACCAUAUUAAAACAGGUAUCGCUACCUUCUCAA